rnacentral:rRNA from 1 species
UACGUAGGGGGCAAGCGUUGUCCGGAUUCAUUGGGCGUAAAGAGCGUGUAGGCGGCCAGGUAGGUCGGUUGUGAAAACUGGAGGCUCAACCUUCAGAGGUCGACCGAAACCAUCUGGCUAGAGUCCGGGAGAGGAGAUUGGAAUUCCUGGUGUAGCGGUGAAAUGCGCAGAUAUCAGGAAGAACACCCGUGGCGAAAGCGGCUCUCUGGAACGGUACUGACGCUGAGACGCGAAAGCGUGGGGAGCGAACAGG